UUUUCUCCUGGUUCCUGCUGCACCAGGUAGAGUGGAGAAAGGAGAAGAGCAAGAGGAAAACCGCCAGAAGAAUCAAGCUGCUGGUUCUCUCAUGGCCGAGAGAAAGUUCAGCUGUGGAAUGGAUGCAAGUGAGAGCGAAGCAAGUGCCCUGAAGAACACAGAGGAAUUGUGCAGUGACCUGAGGAGAACAGAACUGAAGCUGCUAUGAAGAAUGAAAGGAGACAAAGUGCUAGCAGACUGAAAAAAAUAGAUCCAGCCAAAGCAUGGGGAGAAACUGCUAAGCAGCAGCAUUAACAAAACCUAAGAGUCUGCUUUUGUCUUGUUUCCAUACCUUUGCAAUUACUGUGCCAACUAUAAAUAAACCUACCACAGGUCAGCAGAUAGGUUUGAAUCUUGUUCUGUAAGAUUAUGAAUAAAGACAUGCAAUGGCA